UACGGGGGGGGCAAGCGUUUGUCCGGAAUCAUUGGGCGUAAAGCGCGUGUAGGCGGCCCGGUAAGUCCGCUGUGAAAGUCGGGGGCUCAACCCUCGAAUGCCGGUGGAUACUGUCGGGCUAGAGUGCGGGAGAGGCGAGUGGAAUUCCUGGUGUAGCGGUGAAAUGCGCAGAUAUCGAGAGGAACACCUGCGGCGAAGGCGGGUUGCUGGGCUGACACUGACGCUGAUGCGCGAAAGCCAGGGGAGCGAACGGG
rnacentral:rRNA from 1 species